AUUGAACGCUGGCGGCAGGCCUAACACAUGCAAGUCGAGCGGAUGAAGGGAGCUUGCUCCUGGAUUCAGCGGCGGACGGGUGAGUAAUGCCUAGGAAUCUGCCUGGUAGUGGGGGAUAACGUCCGGAAACGGGCGCUAAUACCGCAUACGUCCUGAGGGAGCAAGUGGGGGAUCUUCGGACCUCACGCUAUCAGAUGAGCCUAGGUCGGAUUAGCUAGUUGGUGGGGUAAAGGCCUACCAAGGCGGCGAUCCGUAACUGGUCUGAGAGGAUGAUCAGUCACACUGGAACUGAGACACGGUCCAGACUACUACGGGAGGCAGCAGUGGGGAAUAUUGGACAAUGGGCGAAAACCUGAUCCAGCCAUGCCGCGUGUGUGAAGAAGGUCUUCGGAUUGUAAAGCACUUUAAGUUGGGAGGAAGGGCAGUAAGUUAAUACCUUGCUGUUUUGACGUUACCAACAGAAUAAGCACCGGCUAACUUCGUG
rnacentral:rRNA from 1 species